UCCCCCAAAAGGCUUACAGUUGCAAAGAUAUGGUCCAAAAAAGUGCAGACUCCGGAAAAAAGUAUUUGUUAAUGCAGCAGAUUUCAUUAUGUGCAUGAAAGUGCCUCAGUGUGACACACCUCUUAUGACAAGGAUAUCAGAAAGCCUGGCCAGAUACACUUUUCAUCGGACUCUGUCACGCUCCUCAACUGGACUGUCGACUGAAUGAAGACGGAGGAACCUACAGAAAGUAUUUGUUGCUUUGCAGAAGAAUUUGGAUUUUGGUUGAUUCCUUGUGUACAAACACAGCUUGGAUUUUCUUUUCUAAAACCUUGUUUCCAUAUGUGUUGAUGCUUGC